AGGCACAGUUUUCACCUUUGCUGGAAAGCAUGGGUAAUCUUCUGAAACUUCAUCGUGCUGGGGAUAGUCCUUUGCAAUUAUUGGACUUCAACGAGGAAUUCCUAGUAAGCGUGAGUCAUCAGCUCGCGUUGAUUACGU
rnacentral:rRNA from 1 species